UCAGACGAUGCGUCAUGCAUAUCAAUAAGCGGAGGAAAAGAAACUAACAAGGGUUCCCUCAGUAACGGCGAGGUGAAGCGGGAAGAGCUCAAAUUUGAAAUCUUCAAGGUUUUACCUUGACGAAUUGUAGUUUAAAGAAGUGUUUUCUGCUGAAGUUUUGGUAAAAGUUCUUUGGAAUAGGACAUCAUAGAGGGUGAGAAUCCCGUAUUUGACCUUUACUUUCAACUUUGUGAUACACUUUCAAAGAGUCGGAUUGUUUGGGAAUGCAGUCCAAAAUGGGUGGUAAAUUCCAUCUAAAGCUAAAUAUUGGCGAGAGACCGAUAGCGAACAAGUACCGUGAGGGAAAGAUGAAAAGAACUUUGAAAAGAGAGUUAAACAGUACGUGAAAUUGUCAAAAGGGAAGCGUUUGACACCAGUGUUGUUUUCUCGAAAAUCAAUUAAAAAUGGCUCGAUUUUGUAUUGCUGAGACCUUAAAAGCUCACUGUACAUUUUUCGUGUCUUUUUUAAUGCACUUUUCGUUUAACAAGUCAACAUCAGUUUCUUUUGUUGUAAAAGGGUCAUUGGAAGGUGGCUUUCUUUUCGGAGAAAGUGUUUAUAGCCUUUGGCCUCUGCAAUCGGAGAGACUGAGGUCUGCAGCGUAGACUCUUCGGGGUUAGAUACAUUUGUGCUAAGUUAUAGCUUUUUAUAGACAACUUGUUGACUAUAAUUAGUCUUGUAGCUUACUCGCUUAUGCUAUUUUACCUACGCUUAGGAUGUUGACUGAUAUGUAGUCGU
rnacentral:rRNA from 1 species